rnacentral:rRNA from 1 species
UGAAUUUUGUAUCCCUGGCUCAGGAUGACGCUGGCGGCGUGCUAAUACAUGCAAGUCGAGCGAACAGACGAGGAGCUUGCUCCUCUGACGUUAGCGGCGACGGGUGAGUAACACGUGGAUAACGUACCUAUAAGACUGGGAUAACUUCGGAAACCGGAGCUAAUACCGGAUAACAUGUUGAACCGCAUGGUUCAACAGUGAAAGACGGUCUUGCUGUCACUUAUAGAUGGAUCCGCGCCGCAUUAGCUAGUUGGUAAGGUAACGGGCUUACCAAGGCAACGAUGCGUAGCCGACCUGAGAGGGUGAUCGGCCACACUGGAACUGAGACACGGUCCAGACUCCUACGGGAGGCAGCAGUAGGGAAUCUUCCGCAAUGGGCGAAAGCCUGACGGAGCAACGCCGCGUGAGUGAAGAAGGUCUUCGGAUCGUAAAACUCUGUUAUUAGGGAAGAACAAAUGUGUAAGUAACUAUGCACGUCUUGACGGUACCUAAUCAGAAAGCCACGGCUAACUACGUGCCAGCAGCCGCGGUAAUACGUAGGUGGCAAGCGUUAUCCGGAAUUAUUGGGCGUAAAGCGCGCGUAGGCGGUUUUUUAAGUCUGAUGUGAAAGCCCACGGCUCAACCGUGGAGGGUCAUUGGAAACUGGAAAACUUGAGUGCAGAAGAGGAAAGUGGAAUUCCAUGUGUAGCGGUGAAAUGCGCAGAGAUAUGGAGGAACACCAGUGGCGAAGGCGACUUUCUGGUCUGUAACUGACGCUGAUGUGCGAAAGCGUGGGGAUCAAACAGGGAUUAGAUACCCUGGUAGUCCACGCCGUAAACGGCAUUUUUUUAAGGGUUU